UGAACCAGCCAAGUAGCGUGCAGGAUGACGGCCCUAUGGGUUGUAAACUGCUUUUAUAAGGGAAUAAAGUGAGUCUCGUGAGACUUUUUGCAUGUACCUUAUGAAUAAGGACCGGCUAAUUCCGUGCCAGCAGCCGCGGUAAUACGGAAGGUCCGGGCGUUAUCCGGAUUUAUUGGGUUUAAAGGGAGCGUAGGCCGGAGAUUAAGCGUGUUGUGAAAUGUAGACGCUCAACGUCUGCACUGCAGCGCGAACUGGUUUCCUUGAGUACGCACAAAGUGGGCGGAAUUCGUGGUGUAGCGGUGAAAUGCUUAGAUAUCACGAAGAACUCCGAUUGCGAAGGCAGCUCACUGGAGCGCAACUGACGCUGAAGCUCGAAAGUGCGGGUAUCGAACAGGAUUAGAUACCCUGGUAGUCCGCACGGUAAACGAUGGAUGCCCGCUGUUGGUCUGAAUAGGUCAGCGGCCAAGCGAAAGCAUUAAGCAUUCCACCUGGGGAGUACGCCGGCAACGGUGAAACUCAAAGGAAUUGACGGGGGCCCGCACAAGCGGAGGAACAUGUGGUUUAAUUCGAUGAUACGCGAGGAACCUUACCCGGGCUUGAAUUGCAGAGGAAGGAUUUGGAGACAAUGACGCCCUUCGGGGCCUCUGUGAAGGUGCUGCAUGGUUGUCGUCAGCUCGUGCCGUGAGGUGUCGGCUUAAGUGCCAUAACGAGCGCAACCCCUCUCCUUAGUUGCCAUCAGGUCAAGCUGGGCACUCUGGGGACACUGCCACCGUAAGGUGUGAGGAAGGUGGGGAUGACGUCAAAUCAGCA
rnacentral:rRNA from 1 species